UGGCUUAUGGUGUAAUGGUAACACAGCGGUUUUUGGUGCCGUUAUUCAAGGUUCGAGUCCUUGUAAGCCAA
rnacentral:tRNA from 3 species